GCUCAGACGGAACAUCUUGGGCUCGGAAAAGCAGAGAUACCCAACUCAGAAAAGAAGGAUCCUGUGGACUGCAGAGAGGUUGGAUGGAUGGAUGAUGAGGAAAGAGAAGACGGAGAAUAAAUAAGGAGACAGACACGGUGCAAUCCGAAAUGGUGACGACGAUGCUGCCGAGAAUAUUCAAAUACGAGGGCGUGAAAGCGCAAGUUGCAUACGAAAACCGCACGCGCUGGGGAUCCGACGCGUGACCGGUGGGAAGGGGCCGUGGCCGGCGGGGGCUAGCGCGUGCGCAUGCGAGAGUUGCGGCAACGGCCGACGUGUUCAGAACGGUUAAGGAAGCGAAGAAGUGGAGACAUUGGAGAGAACCUUAGAAGUCAAAGCCGAUGCUGUUGAUGAGUACUGGAUGGUGCUGACUCGAACGUCGUUUCGCCACGUUACGCGUCGGGUUUUUGACCUUUUCUUCGAACGAUUCGUAUGCGUGUUCGACCUUCUGUCCUUUGGGGGAUGAGGACGAUGCUUUUCG
rnacentral:lncRNA from 1 species